rnacentral:tRNA from 1 species
GGCUAUGUAGCUCAGCCGGUUAGAGCACAGCACUCAUAAUGCUGGGGUCGGUGGUUCGAGUCCACCCAUAGCCACCAU